rnacentral:rRNA from 1 species
CGCUAGCUACAGGCUUAACACAUGCAAGUCGAGGGGCAUCAGGAAGAAAGCUUGCUUUCUUUGCUGGCGACCGGCGCACGGGUGAGUAACACGUAUCCAACCUGCCCUUUACUCGGGGAUAGCCUUUCGAAAGAAAGAUUAAUACCCGAUAGUAUAAUGAUUCCGCAUGGUUUCAUUAUUAAAGGAUUCCGGUAAAGGAUGGGGAUGCGUUCCAUUAGGUUGUUGGUGAGGUAACGGCUCACCAAGCCUUCGAUGGAUAGGGGUUCUGAGAGGAAGGCCCCCCACAUUGGAACUGAGACACGGUCCAAACUCCUACGGGAGGCAGCAGUGAGGAAUAUUGGUCAAUGGGCGCUAGCCUGAACCAGCCAAGUAGCGUGAAGGAUGAAGGCUCUAUGGGUCGUAAACUUCUUUUAUAUAAGAAUAAAGUGCAGUAUGUAUACUGUUUUGUAUGUAUUAUAUGAAUAAGGAUCGGCUAACUCCGUGCCAGCAGCCGCGGUAAUACGGAGGAUCCGAGCGUUAUCCGGAUUUAUUGGGUUUAAAGGGAGCGUAGGUGGACUGGUAAGUCAGUUGUGAAAGUUUGCGGCUCAACCGUAAAAUUGCAGUUGAUACUGUCAGUCUUGAGUACAGUAGAGGUGGGCGGAAUUCGUGGUGUAGCGGUGAAAUGCUUAGAUAUCACGAAGAACUCCGAUUGCGAAGGCAGCUCACUGGACUGCAACUGACACUGAUGCUCGAAAGUGUGGGUAUCAAACAGGAUUAGAUACCCUGGUAGUCCACACAGUAAACGAUGAAUACUCGCUGUUUGCGAUAUACAGUAAGCGGCCAAGCGAAAGCAUUAAGUAUUCCACCUGGGGAGUACGCCGGCAACGGUGAAACUCAAAGGAAUUGACGGGGGCCCGCACAAGCGGAGGAACAUGUGGUUUAAUUCGAUGAUACGCGAGGAACCUUACCCGGGCUUAAAUUGCAGUGGAAUGAUGUGGAAACAUGUCAGUGAGCAAUCACCGCUGUGAAGGUGCUGCAUGGUUGUCGUCAGCUCGUGCCGUGAGGUGUCGGCUUAAGUGCCGUAACGAGCGCAACCCUUAUCUUUAGUUACUAACAGGUUAUGCUGAGGACUCUAGAGAGACUGCCGUCGUAAGAUGUGAGGAAGGUGGGGAUGACGUCAAAUCAGCACGGCCCUUACGUCCGGGGCUACACACGUGUUACAAUGGGGGGUACAGAAGGCAGCUAGCGGGUGACCGUAUGCUAAUCCCAAAAGCCUCUCUCAGUUCGGAUCGAAGUCUGCAACCCGACUUCGUGAAGCUGGAUUCGCUAGUAAUCGCGCAUCAGCCACGGCGCGGUGAAUACGUUCCCGGGCCUUGUACACACCGCCCGUCAAGCCAUGGGAGCCGGGGGUACCUGAAGUACGUAACCGCAAGGAUCGUCCUAGGGUAAUACUGGUGACUGGGGCUAA